CCCCACGGCACCUUAUCUCAUAUCCUGCUCAGUAAGUUCUUGCUGCUACCUUUGUCCACAGUCACCUCAGGAAGUGUACAGCUGGAAGCACCUCCUUCUAUGAACAUCUCUCCUUUGACAGAAAAAUGGACUUGGUCCAUCCCAGGCAUGCAAUAACGCAGACAACCACAUACUUCACGUGCUGUGAGCAAAUGCACAAUGGCCCCGUAGCCUGAGAAGUGUAAGUCUCAUAUAAGAAAUGCAUACACUCUCUGAUGCACAGCAGAUGGGCGCGCUGCAUUUCAUGGCUUCCAUGUCUGAUUAAAACCAGAAGGUGAAAAUGUAACUGAAGGGUAUUAGUAAAAGGAACUCCAUCUGGGUGAUGCAAUUCUGGGCCAGCUGCAACUGGGGAUAAAAAUUUGACUGAUUUCUACUUUUUCAGGUAACUGUACCUAGCUAACUGCUUUCUCUUGCAUACACAAGUUGCCUACUUUGGUAGGAAAGCCAUGCAGCAAAUCCAAAAAGAGCAAAUUGUAACUACCCAUGUAUUUUGUUCCUGUAACAGAAGCAGCAACUGUGCAUGGCAUAACUAUAUUUUGAUUUCAAGACACCCCAGGAUCUACAGUGGUUUGAAACUACACGUCCAAAAAAAUGAGCAUUUCACAGGGCUGUUCCUGUUGCAGUUCUUAAUUGCAUGGCUGAAUCACAGUUGCACCUGCUUCAUGGUAUUCGUAACAGGGACUGGUCAAAAGCAAAAAAAGGUUUCCUGUUCUCAGCAUGCAGUUGUGACAAGUGAUGGGGCAGUGGUUCUGACCUGUCUUUCUGUGCCUUUGCUCCUUCUGUCCCAGCCAGAAACUCAAGACUCACAAUGCAGUGAUGCCUUCAGUCAAAAGAGGCAGCAUCCAUCUUGAUGGCAUUGUCACAUGGACUCACAGGGAAAAGGCUAGGGUAGCCCUCAGCCACCAGCACACUGCUCCAGUCCAGGCAGCUUUGUUCCGGAAAAAGAUACAGACGAUCUCCGAGUACAACACAAGUAAGUGACAUGCAGUACCUUGUCACUGACUUUGAUGGACAGAUGAAUUGCCCUCUACCCCUUUGAAUGUAUGGCCAUGGAGUUACUAAACCCAGGCAAACCCAUGACAUUACAACGUAUUUCUAAAACAGUUAUUGCAGACUCAGCAUGCUGAGCAAUUGCAGGAAACAGCUAGACUCUUGGAAAUGCCUUCGAGGCCUGACAGGAACCUGAUGGGAGCAUGCAUCCUAUAGAUGGCUCCUGGGGCAUGGUAUACGGAUUACUCUCGAAGGUCAUUCAAAAUAACUGUACUUACAUUGUAAUUUACAGCACUGGAAUUUGCCCCCCUGACCAGCUGUGUUAGGCAUUUUGUAUAGCUGCUUCAUGUUUCACAGGUAGACGGGUGGUAGAUCUUCACUUUCUUAUUUCUCAGUUCUGUAGAACAAAUUGCAGUCCAAACAUACACCUUCCCAGUGUUGUGCCCGGAACACAAACAAUCCAUGUUUACACAUGCAUUUUUCUUUACAGAUGGACUAGGAGUGCCCACAAACAUCGUCUGAUGACAGCAGCUUGUUAGACGAUGGUGCCUUCAGCACAGCCUCCCUGCCACCUGGUGAGUGCUGCCACUGCUGACAGCUUUGAAGUAAAGGAGUGUAUCUCUUUCAGCUGCUGAAAACAUGCUGAUUUGUGCAUCUACCUCCGUGAAAGGCUUUGAGGCUGAGUUCUGACUAGGGGGCAGUGAUACUCGUCAGAGGCCCAGAGAGGGCAGGGGCACAGAUGUGUCCUAUUAACUGGUUUGUACUGCUCUCUUCUGGUCCCAUUGGCUGCAGUGAAUUCUGUCGCAGGCUCUCAUGCAGACCCAGGCAGCUCCUGCCUCUGGGCUAUGCCAUGUGAGCAGCAGCAGGAUUAUGCUGUGACCAGGACUGAUGUCUGAUCAAAGCCCCUUGGCUGCAGCAGAAAACAAACCAGGAGAGCUGCUGAGGCUGUACUAGUGUGUUCCCUGCUCACAGUGCAGCAGAAGGGUCCAGAGGGUGCCAAAGACCUCCAGCGUUCUGAGGUACACCUCGGAAAUAGACGUAAAUGGAAGAACUGCAUAUGCAACAGGUAUGGUAGGGAAGGCUAGCAGCACCUAAUAAAAAGUUCAGGUAUCCAACACGUGUAGCAGAUGCUGCUUGGGGAUUAAGCACUGCUGGUGCUCAAGUCGUUUUGUGAAGCCAAAGAAAGGCUGGUGUGCCUGAAAGCCAGCCUGUUCUGUCGUUGUUGUUUGUUUUACAGUUGCAUCAGCUGUGCUAAUAAAACCUCUUGCCUUCCCCUACAGACUUUGCUUAUAUCCAUAGACCUUCACCGUAACAACGUUAUUACUUGAAAAAUGGCCUCUGCCCAAACUGUUCCCUGAUUAGU